CAGAAAAUUUGAACAAUGAAUAAUAAUUUUUAAUAAUUUGUUAACAGGUUUUUUUUUAUAUAAGAGUGAUUUUUUUUUUUGCGAGUUUAAAAAAAACAACUAUCAUUUUUGGAUAGUUCAUCCAUAUUUAAGUUCAUUAAAUAAUUCAGAGGGACAAAAAAAACGGCAAUGAUAACGUAACGCUAACCCGAUAUCAAUCGUUAUUCGUUAUAAAACAUGGAGAUUAAGAUAUCGACGACGGGUUAAUAUUAUAAUAAUGUCAAAGACUUA